rnacentral:rRNA from 1 species
CGGGUAACAGAUCUAGCUUGCUAGAUGCUGACGAGUGGCGCACGGGUGAGUAACGCGUAUACAAUCUACCUUUAACUGAGGAAUAGCCCAGAGAAAUUUGGAUUAAUACCUCAUAGUAUUAUAUUAAGGCAUCUUUUUAUAAUUAAAACUUCGGUGGUUAAAGAUGAGUAUGCGUCCUAUUAGUUUGUUGGUAAGGUAAAAGCUUACCAAGACUACGAUAGGUAGGGGGCCUGAAAGGGUGAUCCCCCACACUGGUACUGAGACACGGACCAGACUCCUACGGGAGGCAGCAGUGAGGAAUAUUGCACAAUGGAGGAAACUCUGAUGCAGCCAUGCCGCGUGCAGGAUGAAUGCCCUAUGGGUUGUAAACUGCUUUUAUACAAGAAGAAACCUCGGUACGUGUACCGACUUGACGGUAUUGUAUGAAUAAGCACCGGCUAACUCCGUGCCAGCAGCCGCGGUAAUACGGAGGGUGCAAGCGUUAUCCGGAUUUAUUAGGUUUAA